GCCACCAUAGACGUCUGCAGAGCCCAGCUUAGAAAACUGACGCCAUCCCUCUCGUCACCAAAACGACUUCAUCUUCUCAACGAAAUUCCCACCUUACGAGUAUCCAAGAACCAAAACCAACCAAUCCUCUUCUAGUCUCCCUCUCUCUCUCUUCUCUCUUUCUUUCUCGGGACUUUCUCUCCCUAACAGUGUCUGAAAGCGAAAAUUGAAGCUUCCGGUGUCUCGUCUUUCUCUUGUUUUCUGUUCUUAUCUUUCUUUUCGCCAUAUCUUCGGUGAAUUUAGGAAGUUUCUCCUUCUGAUUUGGGGUUUUGAGUUUUUUCUUCGUCAGAUAAAUCUUUUGGUCUUGUGGUCUUUCAAGUAUUUGAGUAGAUCUACUUCAGAACUUGCGGAGAUUUUUGUUUAGAACUUAAGUUCAAUUAUGAAUUUCGUGGGAUUGAAUAAGUGGUGUUUCUGUUUCUUGUAAAAUACAGAAAUCAAAAGAUCGGGACCAGAAGUGCAUUCCAACCUGUCAGAGUCAAAGUUUUGAUAGAACUUGUCAUUUUGAUAGCAUUCCAACAGGGGGAGUUGUAUUAUGUGUCUCAAUUUCGUGUUUAUUGAACUUGUUUUUCGUGUUUCCAUGAAUCCCGGAUGAUAUUUUUCUGUGCAAUUCAGUUUUUCUGGUAGUUUCCUUUUUUCUGGGCUGUGAAUAAUAAGGGUUUGUAUGUGUGUGGAUGUGUGUAUAGGCAUAUAUUGAUAGAGUAUUUUGCACUUUGUCUUGAUGGCUUACUCAACUGAACCAUCGUCGUCUUUGAGUUUCACUUCAUCUUCCAAUUUAUCGAAUGGCACAUUUGGGCAAGCUAAAUCACCCUCCUCUGGCGAGUCAGGCCUUGAACAGGGUCCUAGCCUCGAUAUCAUUAGCUUAAACAAGCUCAGUUCUAAUUUGGAGCAGCUCGUGAUCGAUCCAAGUUGUGAUUAUAGCGAUGCGGAUAUCGUUGUUGAGGGAAUUGCAGUUGGUGUUAACCGAUGUAUUUUGGCUGCUAGAAGUAGGUUUUUCCAUGAGCUUUUUCAGCGAGAUAGGGGAUCUGCUGAGAAGGAAGGAAAACCAAAAUAUUUGAUGAGUGAUUUGUUGCCUUUUGGCGAGGUUGGACGUGAGGCAUUUUGGGUUUUCUUGAGCUAUUUGUAUACGGCAAAAUUGAAGCCUUCUCCAAUGGAGGUGUCAACUUGUGUUGACGAGUCUUGCGUCCACGAUGCAUGCAGACCGGCUAUAAAUUUUGCGGUGGAAUUGAUGUACGCAUCGUACAUUUUUCAGACGCCAGAGCUGGUUUCACUUUUCCAGCGUCGUCUUCUUAACUUUGUCGAGAAGGCUUUUGUAGAAGAUGUCAUCCCAAUUCUUGUGGUUGGUUUCAAUUGUCAAUUGAGCCAGCUUGUCACUCAGUGUGUUUAUAGAGUAGCAAGAUCAGAUCUUGACAGCAUCUCUCUUGAGAAAGAGCUACCUCAUGAAAUUGCAGAGAAAAUUAGUUUGCUUCGUCUCCACUCUCAGCAUGAUGAUGAACCUAAAAAUGAAGCUGUGGACCCCUUGCAUGAAAAGAGAAUUAGGAGAAUUCACAAAGCAUUAGACUGUGAUGAUGUUGAACUGGUUAAACUUCUCUUGACUGAGUCUGAUAUAACCUUAGACCAAGCCCAUGCUCUCCAUUAUGCUGUAGCCUACUGUGAUCCUAAGGUUGUGACCGAGUUGCUUGGUCUGGGUAGGGCAAAUGUCAACCUUCAAAAUAAACGAGGUUAUACAGUACUCCACAUAGCUGCAAGGCGAAAAGAGCCAUCAAUAAUAGUGUCGCUUCUGACCAAAGGAGCUAGUGCAUUAGAAUCAACACGGGAUGGUCAGAGUGCAGUUAGUAUUUGUCGGAGAUUGACAAGGCCAAAGGAUUAUAAUGCAAAAACAGAGCAGGGGCAGGAAGCAAACAAAGACCGGAUUUGCAUUGAUGUUCUAGAGAGAGAAAUGCGGAGGAAUCCAAUGGCUGGGGAUACAUAUAUUUCUUCCCAAACAGUUGCAGAUGAUCUGCACAUGCAGUUGCUAUACCUGGAAAACCGAGUGGCAUUUGCACGAUUAUUCUUCCCUACCGAAGCUAAGCUAGCGGUAGACGUUGCACAUGCUGAGACAACAUCUGGGCUUGCCGGUCCUUCGACCUCAAAAGGUUCAAGUGGGAAUUUGAGGGAGGUUGAUUUGAAUGAGACUCCAACUAUGCGAACGAAGAGACUGCGAACUCAAAUGGAGGCGCUAAGGAAAACAGUGGAGAUGGGUCGACGCUAUUUUCCUCAUUGCUCAGACGUGCUGGACAAGUUCAUGGAGGAUGACCUCCCCGAUUUGUUUUAUCUUGAAAAGGGCACCCCAGAAGAGCAGAGAAUCAAGAGGAAGCGCUUCAUGGAGCUAAAACAGGAUGUUCAAAAGGCGUUUCAUAAGGACAAGGCCGAGUCCGAGUCGAAUCGCUCUGGAUUGUCUUCUUCCUCACCAUUGUCUUCUCUAAAAGAUGGUGUAAAAUUUAAGGUUAGAGAAGAUGGUGUAAAUCAUAAGGUCAGGAGAUAUUAAGGAAAGUGUUAUUAAGCAGUAGGGGAGUGAAUGAAAUUGUCACGGACAGUUCUUUUUGCCCUCAUUUGUGCUGCAUUUGGUAUCAUGCGAAAGUAGAUCUGUGAACUAUUUAUUAGAAGACAUUCCCAGAUUCUGGCCACUUGAUUGAAGACUGAAGUGAACAAGGUUAAGCUAUAACGCCCAAGGUGAGUUCAUUUCUAGGAUUACAGAAUGAAGAAAGACAAGCAAUUAUUAUUCACAAUAAUUGGAUCUUCUGCAAGGGGGCUUGUGCGAGGGAUAGGAUCUUAAAAUGAUUGGUAAUCAGAACAGGCUAUUGAAAAACAACUCUCUUGUACUUGAUUUCUAUAUAUAUAUAUUUUUAUAAGAAGAAUUUAUUAAUUCUCAUAUUUUACCUGUAUAUAUAAAAUACAUAGAGAAGGAAUGAAGGAUCUCUCCGUUUCAUGUUA